rnacentral:rRNA from 1 species
GUGGUCCUACGGGACGCAGCAGUGAGGAAUAUUGGUCAAUGGGCUUACGCCUGAACCAGCCAAGUCGCGUGAGGGAAGACUGCCCUAUGGGUUGUAAACCUCUUUUGUCAGGGAGCAAUUGGCGCUACGUGUAGCGUUAUCGAGAGUACCUGAAGAAAAAGCAUCGGCUAACUCCGUGCCAGCAGCCGCGGUAAUACGGAGGAUGCGAGCGUUAUCCGGAUUUAUUGGGUUUAAAGGGUGCGUAGGCGGAAUGCCAAGUCAGCGUCAAA